rnacentral:rRNA from 1 species
AGUGAACGCUGGCGGUAGGCCUAACACAUGCAAGUCGAACGGCAGCACAGUAAGAGCUUGCUCUUACGGGUGGCGAGUGGCGGACGGGUGAGGAAUACAUCGGAAUCUACUUUUUCGUGGGGGAUAACGUAGGGAAACUUACGCUAAUACCGCAUACGACCUACGGGUGAAAGCAGGGGAUCUUCGGACCUUGCGCGAUUGAAUGAGCCGAUGUCGGAUUAGCUAGUUGGCGGGGUAAAGGCCCACCAAGGCGACGAUCCGUAGCUGGUCUGAGAGGAUGGUCAGCCACACUGGAGCUGAGACACGGUCCAGACGCCUACGGGAGGGAGCAGUGGGGAAUAUUGGACAAUGGGCGCAAGCCUGAUCCAGCCAUACCGCGUGGGUGAAGAAGGCCUUCGGGUUGUAAAGCCCUUUUGUUGGGAAAGAAAAGCAGCAGGUUAAUACCCCGCUGUUCUGACGGUACCCAAAGAAUAAGCACCGGCUAACUUCGUG